rnacentral:rRNA from 1 species
CGUGCCUUUUGUAGAAUGAACCGGCGAGUUACGAUUUGAUGCAAGGUUAAGCAGUAAAUGUGGAGCCGUAGCGAAAGCGAGUCUGAAUAGGGCGUUUAGUAUUUGGUCGUAGACCCGAAACCAGGUGAUCUACCCUUGGUCAGGUUGAAGUUCAGGUAACACUGAAUGGAGGACCGAACCGACUUACGUUGAAAAGUGAGCGGAUGAACUGAGGGUAGCGGAGAAAUUCCAAUCGAACCUGGAGAUAGCUGGUUCUCUCCGAAAU